rnacentral:lncRNA from 1 species
AGUAGGAUGAGGUUGUAUCCAGAUGAAGGUGUCCUAGAGCGGUGAUGGUAUAGGAACCAUCAAGCAGAUUUCCGGGCAGAUCCAGCUGGUACGGUCAGUGGUGUUCUGCGGGCAUAGCAUGGUUACCAUAUAAGUAUUUCAUUAGCUUAUUUAGGAAUCACCUAUUAUUUGUGAAACUGGAUCUGAAUUUCUUGUUCUAUUUAAAAAGAAGAGUUGUAGGAAUUGAGAAAACGAACUAUGCUUGUGUAACUUUAGGACUUUGUUUAUAGUAAUCUUGGAACUCCACCUCAGUGAUGCAUAACUAACUCAUGUUGAUUUUCUCAGAUCAGUUGUGAGCCCUUAUGCAGAUAGAAGUACCUUUCUCACAAAUAUAAUAUUGCAAAGAUAACAUUUUAAAACAGAAAAUGCAGCUAUGUAUGCAUUACAUUAAGGCUAAUAUGAAUAAUUUUACUUGUUCUAAUUAUAUUAGAUAUGACAAAGCAAAUAUAUAAUAUAUCUUCGUAACAAUGUUGUCGGAUGGAUGCUCUUCAUAUGCUAUGAGUAUCUGCAAUCCAUUUCUGCUUGUAACCCUUGACAUUGCAACAUAAAGUUGGCCAUGUAUGAACACUUGCCUUUCUAAGGACAUUCCAACCUUUUUUAGAGAUUGGCCCUUAAUUUUCUUUGUAGUCAUAGCAAAGCACAUUGAUAUUGGGGUAUUGUCUCCUUUUCAAAAUGAAAGGGCAUUUUGAAUCACUUGGUGACUUGAUAAUUCGUGGGAUGUAAAAGCCGCUUACCUAGCAGUGUUAUUGUUAGUCUUGUCCCAUUGCAAGGCCCUGCACUUUAGUUGAUUUUUCUCAUAAGCGUUACUGGCAAUCCUACGUUCAGCUUCAGUUCACGAUCUCGUAUUCCAGAAAAUGUUAAGACUAUUUAUAAACUCAGUUGUGUAAAAUAUAUUUCCACUGUAGACAUUGUUUUGCGUGUUGUAUACAGUACCUCUUCUCCAAGAAUUUGACUCAUGAUGUAGGUGUUAAUCUCGUCAACAAUCUCAUUUCUUGGUCAUACGAUUGCUCUUUCCUUUAGGUAUGUUCUGUCAGUUUACUUGCUUUGUAAGUCAGGGUAGGUGCAUUUAACAAUAGAUGCUUUGGGGUUUUUGACUUCAUGUAAAAUAAGGUCUUCUGGGAUACUAACCUAGUCUUCUUCAUCUGUUGUUGCUGUUGUGCCAUUGUCAAUGUUUAGUAUCCAGUUUGCAAAUUCCGCUGUCUUUGAUUUCUCUACUGAACUACCUUCGGAUGAAUUCACAUGCAUAUUUUCUGUGAGUUGGUACUUCUCAAAGUUCUUCCAUAGGUAGGUCUUUGCAGAUACGGAAACAAUAUGUUCCAUUUUCCCCUUUGGUACAACUGGUAGGAUUUGCCUGAAAUCACCUACCAGGACUACGGUCAUUCCUCCAAACAGUCAAUCCUCAGCAUCCUCUUUUGUGAAUUGAAGUAUGUUUGUUAAACACUUGUCUAGUGCCUCAAAACAGUGUUUGUGUGUCAUAGGUGCUUCAUCCCAUAUUUUCAGUGAAGUUUUCUUUAUUACCUCUUCAAGAAAUGUUCCUUGCUUGAUGUUGCAUGUGGACUGGCAAGUGAUCUUCAGCGGUAUGUGGAAUCUUAAAUGAGCUGUUCUUCCACCGUGUAAAAGAAGUGUUGCUAUACCACUGAUGCUACUACUAGAACUAUCUUUCCUUUGGACCUUAAUUUUGUCGUGAUUGAUUUCCAUAGAAAUGACUUUCCUGUUUGACCAUAUGCGUCAUAGAAAAUCAAUUUGCCAAUACUGUUGUAAACUGAUUCUACUAUAACAUCAAAAGCCGUCCUCUGAUCUUGAUUUAGCUUUGCAGCAACUCUGUGUGCUCUAUUCAUAAUAAUCUUUAUCGUAGUUAGUUCCUCUUUUACUAAUCUGUUUGUUAUAUCUUGAAGAACCUUUCGACCUUUUGGUGAUCAAUAUAAGUCUUACAUCUUUAAUAUCUCGUUCUUGGAAUCUGUCCCUUCCAUGUGAAAUGAUUUGACUAAAACAUUGUGCUCAUCAAACAUCUCCAUUAGUCCUUUGACAAUGUUUUCAUCUGGCUAUGUCUUGCUGUCCGUGUAACUUGUUGCAUGCAAAUUUUAGUUUCAUCGCGUCAUCUUUAGGAAGUAAAGUACCAAUCUGAUGGUAGUUCUAGCCAUUCAAACGAAAAACAUAUGGUCCAGGUCAUGCAUAUUAAUUUUAUAGUCAACUUUUCCUCCCAUUGAAGUGAACGCAAACAUUAGUUGUACAACCUGAUCCUCUGGUGGAAAUUUGACGAUUCUCCUCUUUCAUUGUAGUGAAGUAGCUGUUGGAGAUACGGUGGAGCUUGUUUCAGUGUUGGUAAUUCAACCUUCCCUUCCUUGCAGCAAAAAGACCAAAUUUUGGAACCCUUAUGUUACUCGUGUUCUGCUUAUUUCUCCAUGCCACAUGAUGGCAUUGCAAAAUUCAUAAAUGCUAAUUGGUUUUCCCAAAUAUGAAACUUGAGUGACAUCCUUCCCCACGUUUGAUACUUCUCAGCCCUUGUUGUCCUUUUCUAUCCUUAGUCAUUUGCUUUUCCUUAUCAGUUGGAGUAUCUCAUUCCUUUUUCGUCCAGCUGCCUUCCUUGCUGCUCUAAUGAUGUCUGAUUGACUAUCAUUAGAUUGUAGUGUCGCAGGAUGGGAGAUUCCUUGCUCAGGUAUUUCGAUUGUUUGUUCACCCGACAUAUUGUUGCAUCAAUCCAGGUAAAUUAACGGGUGUAUAAUUGAUUUUUUUGUAUUGUGAUAAUGAAUACCUUUUGUUGUUUUGAUUUGGUCAGUCCCAAAAAUAUUAAGUACAUUCUAGUGCGGACACCUUAUAAGCACCUAAUACCUUUUCUGCUGGAGUAUAUCUUUCCUUUUUCGUGCAGCAUCAUUCAUUGUCGCUCUAAUGAUGUCUGCAGGUUGACUAUCAUUAGAUUCUACCAUCGCUAGUUUGGAGGUUGCUUGGCCAGGUCUUUGGAUCGUUUGAUCACUCGACAUAUUGCUGCAUAAGAUUUUGGUACAAUCUAAAUAAUCCAGGUAAAUUAAUGGGUGUAUAAUUGAUUUUUUGUAUUGUGAUAAUGAGUACCUUUUAUUGUUUGGAUCUCGUCCAUUGUGAGUUUGACGCAUGUUGACUGCAGCUAGUGAAUCCUGAAACAAAUGAGGGAACAUUGUAUCAAGUAUUUGAAAGUUAACAGUAUAUUCUUUAUGGAGCCAAAGAUCAGGCAUGUACCCUUAUCAUUUUCUGACUAGAUAUUUAAGCUUGACUGUUUAGAAAUUAACAUCUAUUCUUCAUUGAAGAUAGCACAGACAACUUAGAUACGUGCUAGCGAGGACAUCUUAUAAGCUCUUGAUAUUACUUGUCCAGAAACUCUAAAUUGCUGAUGAUAAAUUUAAUGUACACAUGUCAGGUACCACAUUGUUAGCAAGGAUGUUGAAGGAUGUUGUAUGGCUCAAUCGGUUUGCUGAAAAUAUUCUUGUUCUAUUAUUGAUAGUAUUCCAACAAAGAAUUUUAAAUCCCGUACAUCUGUUGUUAGUACCUUUUAAGAAAAGGAUGUAUAUGAUUUGUAACUGGUUAACUGAAUUUAAAGUUUGGUCAUUGAUUUCUCUCUAUAAUUACAAUUAACAGAGCAUAUGUAAUGAGAUUAGAGAGUUGAUGCA